UCUAUGGCCGUUGUUCUCAGACUACGUGUUCCACAAGUGGUCUUGUUCUGAUACCACAGAUUCCAAAGUAGCCUUGUUCUAUGGCUACUAUAGUUCCAUAAUUAGCCUUGUUGGCAGGCUAAAGGAGUGAUCAUUAAAUCAGAUAUGUAAUGUUAAUACUCUUGGGGUUUCUUUUUUUCUCUUUCUUGAAUUGCCAGGCAAAUCGCCAGCCGCAUUGAUGCGAGACCAUGGACAGAGAGGACAGGAGGAGACCUUGAAAAUUUCCCAACACAAACCACUGGGAAUACCUGUGGUAUUUUCAUGCUGAUGUAUGCCCUCUGCCUGAGCACUUCCGCCCCAAUGGUAUUCACAGAG